rnacentral:rRNA from 1 species
ACGGGUGAGUAUAAUGUGGGAAUCUGCCUUUUGGUUUGGAAUAACACGGGGAAACUUGUGCUAAUACCGAAUAAGCCCUUACGGGGAAAGUUUUAACGCCGAAAGAUGAGCCCGCACUUGAUUAGCUAGUUGGUAAGGUAAAAGCUUACCAAGGCAACGAUCAAUAGCUGUUCUUAGAGGAAGACCAGCCACAUUGGGACUGAGACACGGCCCAGACUCCUACGGGAGGCAGCAGUGGGGAAUCUUGCACAAUGGGGGAAACCCUGAUGCAGCGAUGCCGCGUGAGUGAAGAAGGCCCUUGGGUUGUAAAACUCUUUCGUCGGGGAAGAAAAUGACUGUACCCGAAUAAGAAGGUCCGGCUAACUUCGUGCCAGCAGCCGCGGUAAUACGAAGGGACCUAGCGUAGUUCGGAAUUACUGGGCUUAAAGAGCUCGUAGGUGGUUAAAAAAGUUGAUGGUGAAAUCCCAAGGCUCAACCUUGGAACUGCCAUCAAAACUUUUCAGCUAGAGUGUGAUAGAGGUAAGUGGAAUUUCUAGUGUAGAGGUGAAAUUCGUAGAUAUUAGAAAGGACACCAAAUGCGAAGGCAACUUACUGGGUCACUACUGACACUGAGGAGCGAAAGCAUGGGUAGCGAAGAGGAUUAGAUACCCUCGUAGUCCAUGCCGUAAACGAUGUGUGCUAGACGUUGGAAAUAUAUUUUUCAGUGUCGCAGCGAAAGCA